rnacentral:rRNA from 1 species
AAUGGCUGCAGUAAUUUGACUGUACAAAGGUAGCAUAAUCAUUAGUUUUUUAAUUAAAAGCUUGUAUGAAAGGUUGGACGAAAUAAAAUCUGUCUCUUUUUAAUAAAAUUAGAAUUUAAUUUUUAAGUUAAAAAGCUUAAAUUUAUAUAAAAGACGAGAAGACCCUAUAGAGUUUUAUAACUUUAAUUUAAUAAUUAAUUUAGAUUUUAUGAUUUUAUUUGAUUUAAGUUAUUUUAUUGGGGUAAUAAAAAGAUUUAAAAAAUUCUUUUUUUAUGAAAUCAUUAAUUUAUGAUAUUUUAUGAUCCAUUAAAUUAUGAAUAUAAGAUUAAAUUACCUUAGGGAUAACAGCGUAAUUUUUUUUUAGAGUUCUUAUCGAUAAAAAAGUUUGCGACCUCGAUGUUGGAUUAAAGAUUAGUUUAGGUGUAGAAGUUUAAAUUUUUGGUCUGUUCGACCAUUAAAUCUUUACAUGAUCUGAGUUCAAACCGGUGUAAGCCAGGUUGGUUUCUAUCUUUAUAAAAAUUUUAUAUUUUAGUACGAAAGGACCAAGUAUAAAGUAUUAAAAUACUUAAUUUAUUGAAUAU